GAUUGAACGCUGGCGGCAGGCCUAACACAUGCAAGUCGAGCGGAUGAAGGGAGCUUGCUCCUGGAUUCAGCGGCGGACGGGUGAGUAAUGCCUAGGAAUCUGCCUGGUAGUGGGGGAUAACGUCCGGAAACGGGCGCUAAUACCGCAUACGUCCUGAGGGAGAAAGUGGGGGAUCUUCGGACCUCACGCUAUCAGAUGAGCCUAGGUCGGAUUAGCUAGUUGGUGGGGUAAAGGCCUACCAAGGCGACGAUCCGUAACUGGUCUGAGAGGAUGAUCAGUCACACUGGAACUGAGACACGGUCCAGACUCCUACGGGAGGCAGCAGUGGGGAAUAUUGGACAAUGGGCGAAAGCCUGAUCCAGCCAUGCCGCGUGUGUGAAGAAGGUCUUCGGAUUGUAAAGCACUUUAAGUUGGGAGGAAGGGCAGUAAGUUAAUACCUUGCUGUUUUGACGUUACCAACAGAAUAAGCACCGGCUAACUUCGUGCCAGCAGCCGCGGUAAUACGAAGGGUGCAAGCGUUAAUCGGAAUUACUGGGCGUAAAGCGCGCGUAGGUGGUUCAGCAAGUUGGAUGUGAAAUCCCCGGGCUCAACCUGGGAACUGCAUCCAAAACUACUGAGCUAGAGUACGGUAGAGGGUGGUGGAAUUUCCUGUGUAGCGGUGAAAUGCGUAGAUAUAGGAAGGAACACCAGUGGCGAAGGCGACCACCUGGACUGAUACUGACACUGAGGUGCGAAAGCGUGGGGAGCAAACAGGGAUUAGAUACCCUGGUAGUCCACGCCGUAAACGAUGUCGACUAGCCGUUGGGAUCCUUGAGAUCUUAGUGGCGCAGCUAACGCGAUAAGUCGACCGCCUGGGGAGUACGGCCGCAAGGUUAAAACUCAAAUGAAUUGACGGGGGCCCGCACAAGCGGUGGAGCAUGUGGUUUAAUUCGAAGCAACGCGAAGAACCUUACCUGGCCUUGACAUGCUGAGAACUUUCCAGAGAUGGAUUGGUGCCUUCGGGAAGUCAGACACAGGUGCUGCAUGGCUGUCGUCAGCUCGUGUCGUGAGAUGUUGGGUUAAGUCCCGUAACGAGCGCAACCCUUGUCCUUAGUUACCAGCACCUCGGGUGGGCACUCUAAGGAGACUGCCGGUGACAAACCGGAGGAAGGUGGGGAUGACGUCAAGUCAUCAUGGCCCUUACGGCCAGGGCUACACACGUGCUACAAUGGUCGGUACAAAGGGUUGCCAAGCCGCGAGGUGGAGCUAAUCCCAUAAAACCGAUCGUAGUCCGGAUCGCAGUCUGCAACUCGACUGCGUGAAGUCGGAAUCGCUAGUAAUCGUGAAUCAGAAUGUCACGGUGAAUACGUUCCCGGGCCUUGUACACACCGCCCGUCACACCAUGGGAGUGGGUUGCUCCAGAAGUAGCUAGUCUAACCGCAAGGGGGACGGUUACCACGGAGUGAUUCAUGACUGGGGUGA
rnacentral:rRNA from 1 species